rnacentral:lncRNA from 1 species
CAAGAACUUAAGUGUAGACAUUUAUUCCAAUGGCAAAGACUAUGAUAAAUUUGUAUUCACAAGAUAAAAUCUUCGGUGAAGUAUAAUUUUUUAUUAUGUUUAAAAUUAAUUGAAUGUUAAUUUUUUUUUUUCAAAGCAAUCAAGGAAGAAUUCGUACAUAAAUACGAAUCCAAAAUCUUAUGAUACUAUAUCAAAAUUACUAAUUGGGCUGCAAACUCCACUGGAUCAUCCGAAUAUGCAUCUCAUUUGACGGUGCAGACGAACCUACGUGGAGUAAAUGAUGCACAUCAUAUCAAAUUCACACCCACAAUGGCAGAGUCUGCAGUUGUAUGAUUUCAUAAACUCAAUACAAUAGCGAGUGGGAAGAAUAUGGACAUUAUGAAUCUGCAGUGGCGCGCAGGGAUGACUUUCUUUGCUUGUAUGUGAAUAUCCUGAAGAAAAUUAACGAGGAAAACUCGUGGCAUGCAGCUAUUGGUACAAAUAUAGGAUACAAAUCACUCAACUUCACAAAGGAAAUAACAAGAACAAGUGCCGUAUUAAAUAUAAGCACAAGGAUUAGUGCCAUAUAUACCACAAAGUUUUCAGACAAGUGUUUCCUUGGCUUCCAUGAAGUGUUCAUGUUCAUCCUCAUUGCUUGUCAUCCUUUUGUGCAUGAACUUGUAGUAGGCAAAUUGUAGGAUGAUCUGGUAAAAUAUGUGGUCAAGGAACUACAUGCACCAAAUAGGAAAUAUCUGAAUCAUUCAAGAAAGGAUAAGAGAUCAUGAAGCAGUAAUUAGUGAAGUCAAAUGAAAAGAGAGAAGGAUACAAAUAGAUCAAGAAGAACACAGACUAUUGCAUCCAGCAACCAAGGUGAAUUAGCCUUAAUUCUUUCCCACUCAAUGCUCCUUACCAGUAUGCUGCAUCCAAACACAAUCGUUAACAAGAAGACCUCUUUGAGGGGUCGAGGAGGGGAGGCGGACGAGAGAGAGAGAGAGAGAGAGAGAGAGACCUUCCAACGUAAGUUGCAUUGGCAGCGAGUGCAAACAUGAACAUUAGAGGAUUUAAUCCCUAUAAAAUAAGUCAUAAUAUUAUAAUCAAAAGGUUUAACGAAGCUAAAUGAUGGCAAAACCUAAAGGGUUUUAGGUCUAACCUCCACGCUCCCACGCUUGAUCUGUUUGAUGACAUAACAUACAUCAUAAAAAUGUCUAUGUCCAGUUUCAUGUCACGGCAAAACUGUGGAUGAAAGAUAAGAUAUGUGCUUACGUUCUUAUAUAUCUGAGGCAGGCGGCCUCCCAUGUAAAUGGCAGCCAUAACCCAUCCUAACAGCAGCCCAUAAGGGUUCUCUUCCAGUGAUUUUAUGCCUCCUUCCUGUAGUGCCACGGAGAGCAAAAGCAUCAGUUUUAUUGAAUGUGGGAAACUGCACUCCAUAAUUCUUCCUACUGUCAAACCCUAUGUUGUUCACCUCCAUUGAAGCUUUGGUUUGAAAUGGUAAAGUGACCGAGGCAGCUGCAAAAGUCCCAUAGCCAACCUGCCAUUACGAAAGCAAGGCAAAACAGUACAAAGUUAUCACUUACUAUGCAGAAUGAGACAACCCAACUUCCUUGUAAGCAUGAACAACAGCUUUGAUAGAUCAGAUAUCUAAACUGAGCUGCUUUACCUAAUUAGCUUGCUGCUCAUAUCUCAUACCAAACUUACUUUCCCAAGUAGCAUAUGAUGUACUAAAAGUUGCUUUCUAAUAUGAUAUAUCUCUGGCAUCCUAUAUCUUUAGGUUAUUCUUCUUCUUGUAAGGUUCAUGCAAUCUUUGCUAACCCUUAUCUUCACCUAAUGCACACAGGAUAUAUCCUACAACUUACGUUUGUCUAUCAUGAAACUUUACCUUCGAGAUAUAAUUAAAUUAACUAGUUUAAAUUUUAAUAAUUUAUAUAUUUAAUAAUCCUUUAGAACACAAUAUGUGUACAUAUUAAGAUUAUUAUGAUAAAUGAUUUAAAAUAAAAAUUAUAUGUGAAAGUCACAAUAGUUAUUGAACUUGAUUAAUUAUGCUAUUCUAAUUCAAUUAAGCUCUACAGUGCAUCUAAUUAUGUAAUCUCCGGACUACUUUAUUUGUUAUCCUACAUAGCCUAAAAGAACAUCCAAAUUGACUCAAACCAUCAAUCACAUACCGACGUUUGUGUCACACGACGACUUCUCAUGAAGUACCUCUACAUCACAUUAUAAUUAUCACCUUUUGACCUGCGAUUCCCGACUCACCGGGCGAGAGAGGAUCCUGAUGGGCUUACUCAUGCCGCUGUGCCAAGAUCGGUGCCGUGCCGAUCUCUCGUCGUCAGAACCCGACGACUCCAAGUACCCCGAGGCUGAUGGACCACUUCGAGCUGGUCCAAGGUAGGACGAUCUAUACGGUGGAGUCCCACUGCUCGCCAAAGACCUCGCCGACCUGAGACGCGCACACCGGUGUGUUAAGAGACCAAGACUGGCUUCGGUUUGUCAGAUAGGUAGUGGAGACCGAGGAGUCGCACGUACGUAUAGCAUACAUCUGCACGAGGUGAUGCUGUAGGCGGGGCAGUAAGAGUUGGUAGGGGAUGACUGUGACCCUCAGAAUUCGGAUUCAAAGGUUUGCAGCUGUCUUCUUCGACCUGGCGACCACGAUGCGGUUUUCUCAAGCAUAUACAAGAAGAAGUUACACGAGGAAGGAACACAUUAGAUGAAGAUGGUGGUUUGAUUUGUCACCUCUAGUUGAGCCGCGAAACCUCUGCUCUCACAACAACUUAGCCAGCAAUCGUAAUACAGAAUUUGCAGCACCAAAACCACUGUGACGGCCGUGUAUAACUGCACCAUUAGUUUCGAGGGAGGUUAGCAUACGGACAUAACACUUUCUCAGCCUUCUAGGGCCUAACUCAGCUCACCAGUGCUGUAUAGAACUGGGUCGGCAGCUGCAGAUAAAUCAUAUUAACAUUUUACUAGAUGAUGACAAAUUGCUUUGCUGCAAGAAGUUUGAGAUACAGCUUAAAAUUGGAAAUGCUUACCGUUACUGGUUCGAGAAGGCAACCCACCAGGUUGAAGAUGUCACUGCAAGCCAGAGUAAAAUGUAAGAGUUUGCUGGAGAACUUCGUCUAGAUCUUGUUUAAACUGUGUUUAAGAAAUGCAAGGGGACGGACCCAACGACCCAAGUCAGGAGGAAUGCAAGCGAGAUGCCAUGGCCAGUCUUGUUGUGGAAGUUGGUGAUGAUCUGUGGUACCUCUGCUAUUCCCCAGCAGAAGAGGCUGAUCAUACCGAGGCCAAACGAUAGCUCACCUCUUACGCUACACACGCAGUCGUUGAAGUACCUCUCGAUCCAUCCUACACAGGCCCUCUCCUCCUCUCCGCAGGUAGCCCAUGCAAGAGACUUCGCCAUGUCUCCGAGCUAAUUGGUUUGGACUUGGAGGAAGGAAGCGGUGACAAGGUUACACUAUAUAUACAGAUCUAGAAGAGUGUCGAACAGAGGAGAGUGACAGAAUUUGCCACUUCCUCUGCCUCUAUCUCUGCCUCACACUGAACGAAACAUGAAAGUUGACGGGCCUAAUUUGAUGUUGCCAAGUAACUCCAUAGUUCUAUCUAAGACAAAGAAUUGCCGAACACUUGAACGUCACCUGCUAUACUUAGGUGGUGGAUCGAGUCCCCCCUACGUUGUUAGGCAAAAUAACAAAUGACGGAGGGUCAUGCAUUGUCUAAGAGAUCACUCAAUUCAGUUAAGUCCGUCCCACAAAUAUUUUCUAUUUGGUGUGGGAACAGGAUGAUGAGUUCAUGGUGUUACCCGGAAAAACACGUCCAUAGCUGGUAAUUAACUCUUGUAUGAACAUGAAAGAAAGAGCAAUACAUGAACUUCAUGCAUCAUCGGGAAGGAGAGGCUUGAGAUGUGGGGAAAGAAAACAAUGAGAUUGGCAAUACUGCACUUGUGGAUGCAUAUUAUAUCUGCAAUUAUAAUUUUAAGAUGAGUACGUCGAGUAGCAAUAGUAAUAUUUCUGGAUUAGAAAUAUAAGAAUUAUUAGAUACGGUUGGUAAGGUUGACGUAAUCCGCGAAAGAUAUCAAAGUGUUUGUUGGCACGCUGGGUGGCGACGUCACACGUGGGAGGAAUCGCCCACUCGCGGCAUCGAUGCGCUGCAGACGGCACAGUGAAGUGAGAGAAGGAUUAUGCCGUGCUGCCGUCCGUGGACCGUCCACGUGGUACACCUUCUGUAGUGGGGCCCGUACAGUAGUCUGUGACAAUAUACAUUAAGAUCAAUCGAGUCGUUGUAGUAUAGUGGUGAGUAUUCCCGCCUGUCACGCGGGUGACCCGGGUUCGAUCCCCGGCAACGGCGUCAUUUUUUAUUUGGCCAGAAGGAUUGUCCGCACUCUCGAAGACGCGGGGCGUCAACGAGAGAGGAGGGUGUAGAUGAGCACUGCGCUGGAAAACAACGUCGGUUUGUUGCGGACAUACGGAUGACGACGAAGGAUGCGACAGCACCGCUUCAGGUCCUCUCCUUCCCAUCACAUCCAACACAGGUGUCUAUUUUCUGUCUGCCCUCUAUCGAUACCAAAUCGAUAAGUCUUGCAUCUGUACGGUCAUUUGCUCCUCCGCUUAGAGCUCGAACAGUGCCUUCCAACCUUAUCCUCCACUGGAUAUCUUUAAUGCCCGAGAUGUGAUUAGAUUGCGCUUUAUGCGUGGCCUUCUUCUUCUUCUUCUUCUUCUUCUCAAUGAUUAACCUUUUUUGUUUGCAAUGGACGUAAAAGUCUCUUUGCUUCCGAAGAACUUGCCAAGGUCGGCCUAUGGGCCUCCAUGCAGUAAUAUUGGGCUGCUUAGUAAGUGGGUCUUAAAAUAAUGUAUCCCAUUCCUUGUUUCUCCUUUUAUUGGCCUUUAGUGAUGUCUGAAUCCGUGUUCCCGAAACAAAGCUAUCCCAUCGCCAAUGUCCCACCAUUUCCUUUCUUCUUAAUUGCAACCUUUAGUGAUGUCUGAAUCCGUGUUCCCGAAACCAAUUAAAUGUCACAGUGAAAUGGAAGAAUGGGGGACUUGUAGGCCGCUGCCUCACCCUGCAUGAUCGUGGCUAAUGUUACCCACCCAGCCAUUGUGAGGCUGAAGCCAUGGAAACGAUAGCAGCAUCGCUAUCGGUGAGGUCGCGCUGUGUCAAUGGCCGUCGUUGUCCCUUUAACGCCGGUGGGAUCUCCGGACCAACCCUGCCGAGCUCUUCUUGGCUCCUCGGCCUUUUCCUCGCCAUGUCACAAAGUGCAAGCUAUUGGUUCUUCUCCCCCACAUAUUUACGAGGGACCAACGACUUGAUACACACCUCUGCUCUGUCGUGGCAGAUGUAGCUGUCACGUGACGAGGAUUAACAUCGUUGGCUGUCCUUUUUCUUUUGGUGGUGACCACAGUUUUAGGAUCACCGAUUUUGAUUCUAAAAUAGAUAGUUUCAUUUGUACCAAAUUUGGAAUCAAAAUCUAAUUAAUUUGAGAUGGAUCAGAACCGAAUCAAUUCGAGACGAUUUCGAUUCUAAAACUAAAACCGUCAGUUUAGCUUCCUAUCUCUGUCUUCUUUUUAUUUGUUUAUUUAUUUUGGACCUUCACCCAAUGAAAAUUAAUAUCAAAUAUUAUCUUUUCUUUUUUGGACGUUCACCCAAUGAACCAUUGGUCGGUUGAAACUUAUUUUGAUUCCGAAAUCGAAACCAUCGAUUUUAGUUUGUAAUUCUAAUUUCAAGAAAGAAUGGUAUGGUCGGGGAUUUUGAUUCAGUUCGAUUUGGUUCUAUUUUGAACGGAACAGCCACGAAUCCAUCACUAACACGACGAAAGUAAAAGAUCGGAUAUGAUCACAUCGAUAAGCGUGCAGCACCGAAGCAUACAUCUGUUGCGUCGAUUCGACACACAGGACAAGCUCAACAAGGACAGCACCUACACCAACAAGGAGACAAACCAGUAUCGGACGACGGCAUCUCAGCGCACACACCUUUCGCGCGCGAUGCCAAACCCAGAGCUUGUCAAAGCUUUGCAAACGUUUGAACGCGCUGGUAAUCCCUUCAGCACCUGUCGACCCAAAACCCCUUGGAAGCUGGACGACAACACACGGGAGGCAAGCUGGCCAGUGUGCCCUAGAGACAAAGGGGAAGGGACCCACGCCCUCAGAACACCACCAGCUGCAUAGGAGUAAGCCCAGGUACCAGCGAGACCAGGUGCCUCCGCAACCGUCCACCGGCGCCUCGGCUCCCAUGGACCACGGCGUCGACGUGACCGCCGAGCCAACGUGGCCCGGGCCACCCCCUGUCGGUGGUGGCCGUCGAGUGGUCCACGUCGGCCGCGCAUCGAUGCCCGGAGUGCCACCAGCUUUAAUAAUUCCACCCCCCGUCUUUAUCACCCUUCCCGUUGCUCAAAAGUUCUCUUUGUGCACCGAUGACCCCCACCUCCCUCCCCUUUCCUCUUUUUAUCAUUCCUGAGAGAAGAGAGGCGAUUCCAAGCACUGUGCUGCAUGCCCAAGUGGUGGCUUGGGGCCAUGCAGCAGGAGAAUGUUGCUUAUAUAUAAGAUACUCUGGUUGGAUAGUGACUAUGUAGGGAGGAUGUUGGCUCUCUUGGCCACGGUAAAAGGAAUAAGACUCGGAGAAAGAACACGGAGCAUCAAAAGAUGCAAUUGGUUGGCACAGAUUACAUGAAUCCCGUACGCGAGUGAUGUAGAUGGGCAUCAACAUUAUUAUAUUCACGUAGUUACAACUCAAUAACACAUUCUUCGAAUUUAUAUCCACAAUGGCAAAUGAUCGAGUUCCUAUAAAACAAUAGGAGGAUAUGAAAGGUCAACAUAUUUGAAAUUGUCGACGUGAAAUUAUAGCGAAUAAAUGUAGCAUAUUUCAUUUGGAUAAAUUAUAAAUGAAUCGUCACGUUUGUUAUUCUUCCUAAAACUAUGCCUAAAUAAAGAGAAAAUUUCCCAAAUCCGGUGUGUAAUUGGGCAGCCUCUCAACUCAUUCAAUAAUUAGAGGACCCACUAUUUAGCAUCUCUUCCCGAAGGGACCUCCACAUGUAAUGUGCAUCACAAUGACCCCAUACAAGAAGGUUGGGGACGAUGGGGACAAAGAAAAGCCAUGGUCGAACCAUUUAAUCAUCCCCUCACCGUAGCUCAUGACGCAUAGUCACAUCCCAUGGUCCACUUCAUGUCCUAUGAGUGAUGACAUAACCCAUUUUUGGAACAUCGGCCUUCGAGUUCUUCACCUUUUGGUUUGUCGAUAUGCUCGUGUAGGACAACACAUUUUGAUACACGAGAUAUAUAUAUAUAUAUAUAUAUAUAUAUAUAUAUAUAUAUAUAUAUAUAUAUAUAUAUAUAUAAAAGAUUUCGUAUAUCGAUUAUCUUUGGAUCAUCGAGAAAUCAUGAGAAAAGUUAUUAUAAUAUAAGAUGUCAACUAAUGUAAUCGAUAAAGAUUUUAAUUAUAGAAUAUUUUUAUGUCUUACCAAAAGAAUCAUAUUAUUGAUAUUUAGGUGAUAAACAUAAUAGGCCUCCACUUAAGCUAAGUUUAACCUAUGGAAAUGAAAAAGAAAAAAAAAUCAUCUGAACAUAUAGUAUAUAGGAACAGUGUAAUGUUAGAAGAAAACAGUGUCCAUUUGAAGUAAAAUGGAAGCUUCAUCCUGUGGCCAAAUAAUGUUCAUCAAUGUGACAAUUCUACAAAGCCUUAAUUUGAUCUUCCACUUGGCAAUAUGCUGGCAUUUACUUAAGCUAUGAGCUCAAAUAAGGGGGUUGAACAGAUCUUGAGAUCAUUGAAGAGCCAACCUCUUUUCCUUGACCAAACUGUCUCUUUUACACCUUGAUGGAUGCCUCCAAACUACAAAGGAUCACCAGUCACUGAUGUGAUAUGAUUGACACAUUGGAAACAUGAAAGAAGAUAAACUAGAGGAGGAAAAAUCAUCUACACUGAUUACAUUGGGUACCUAAAAGAAAAAAAAAAAGGAGGAAGGUCAGCUUCAACUUCUUGAUCAAUGGGAGAAAACAAAUGUUGAUGUAUGUUUGCAAUGUAUGCUCACAUGUUUAAUGGAUGCUUGUGUUACCCAAGGCAUCAAGUUACCAGUUAGAGGACAAAGACGCCUUGCUUGGAGAGAGAGAGAGAGAGAGAGANNNNNNNNNNNNNNNNNNNNAGAGAGAGAGAGAGAGAGAGAGAGAGAGAUUAUUGUAUUGUUUAAGAUGCUACAGGCAAAACAAUAGGCUACGCAGCCACUGGAGGAAGGGUGAGUAAUGAUCCCAAGGUGGAGACAUGCCAUUUAUAUUGAACCUUAAUUUGGGCUUUGAGCUGUGGAGUGAUGACGUUAGCCUAAAGUUUGUAUGUACUCUCCCAUCAUAUUUUAAUUGGAAGAUGGCGUCUGAUACUGAACAGUCUUAAUUUAAAUCUUAAUUUAGCCGAGUGUUUAGUAUCCCUUUUCUUUUGAGUUCGGAUGCUUGGGAUUCAAUCGAUGGGAGAAUGACAUUCUAUCUACUUUGAGAUUUUUCGUAAGGCGAAUUAGCUGACCAAUCUUUUUCUGAAAGUUGACCUUGUUGAAUUCUUGUGUAGAUGGAAUGAAUCACCAAUCAAAAGUUAUAUUUAGGAGACUAUUUAUUGGUAAGGGAAAUCAAUAAUAAUCAAUAUAUAUAGGUGAAUUCAUCAAGAGUAGAUGAGCAUGCCAUAAUCAAAUCGAGUUCAACUAUAUGUAAAAUAUCAAUAAAUUAAUUUUCGAAACAUCACACCUCCGAUCUAAAUUUAAUACAUUAAAAUCGAUCAUAAAAAGUAUUCCUUAUAAUUAAUUAAUGAGAUAUGCUCAUGCCAAAUCCAAAGAUUAAAAAUAUAUGUUCACAUGUAUCUUAGCGGGUGUUGAAACUAAGCAUCAUUUAAGUCGUUGAAUCGACAAUAGAAAACUUGGGUGAUGCGCAUUAGCCGACGCAUUUAACGAGUCAUGUGCUAAGCAAUAAAAUUAAUGCUUUUAUAAUAGAAACAUAUUCUAUGUGUAGUGUAUUUGUCUCAAUAAUUUUAAUAUAAAAUGUUUCUUCCAAUACGUAGAUAUAAGUAUAAUUUUCUUUUAUUUUUUUGUUGAUAGAAAAAAUAUUCGCCCUAUCAAGGGUCGAUACAUGGUAGCCUAAUAAGCAUAAGAAGGACGGUUUCGAUACUUAUAUAGAUGUCAACUUAUAUAAAAUAUUAGGUAAAUAUUUUACAUAAUAAUUUUUUUUAGUUAAAUCAAUUAUAAAAUGUUCAUUGGACAGAUCCUUGAUUAUUUACUUAAAAUCUAUAUUUUAUUUUAUUAUUAACUUGAGUAUCAGGAAAACAACGUCGAGAACCUCACACAAUCGAAGAUCGCUUAUGUGUCAUUAGAUUGAUAUCCAAGAUUUUUUCGAUCACGCCUAAAGAUGAUAUAUGCACAUAGGUUCCAAUCAAGUCAAAUUGGUUUGAAUUGUAUAUCCUCAUAUAGGUAAAUUUUUUUAUUUACCUCUUUUGGCCUCCAUGCAUUAUGUUUGUUUUGUAUGUUUUUAUAUCAUAUUUUUAUUUAAAAAAUAAAUAAAGCAGCAAGCUUGCAUUCUUGAUUGUCUUAUGUCGAACAUCAACUUUGCCACUGUAAUUAGGGAUUUAUUUUCCAGUAUUAUGUUACCUCUCCUUGUUGUUGAAAAAUAUUUUUGUGUAUGAAUUUGAAAUAAAUAUACGUUAAAGAUUAGUCUCUUAGUAUUCGAGUGAUAUAUAUAUUAUAGAAAACCUAUAUUUACUAUCCCAUCAUAAAACACUAAUUGAACAUUAGUCGACACAACCAAGCAGUGUUCGCUUAAUUAAACCACUCAACAAAAAAAUAUGUUGCAUAAUUUACAUGUUUUUUUUUUUAUGUUAUGAAAAGAGACAAUUGUUCUGCCAAACAUCACUGGUGCUCGCUUUAAGCAGAGACUUGGAGACUUGAGUUGAACUGUGACAGUCGCACAGCAAGCAAGCUUUCGUUGAAAGCCUGCCGGAUACAAUAGACAAAGGUUUCUGCAACGAUUACUGAUACGCAAUAGUGUGAUCACGAUACCCAUCUUUGCCUUUGCAGCGUGCAGCAGCAGCCUGCAGUCUGCUAAGGAGAGCAGUGCAGCAUCUGCAUCCCCAAAACUCCCAUCUUUUCUGUGCCUCCUGCUGAGCACCGUCAAGUACCACUCAGUUUCUGCCUGUACCGAAUGCAGAGUCCGCAGGAUGAGUAAAUUACAAAAGGACUAACCAUGGGGAUUCAUGCAACAUCUGCAGGCGUUUCAGUGGAAGAUGAUGCACUGCGCUGGUCGUACCACAUCUCUUGUCAUCGUUUUCGCUCCGUACGCCUGCGCUCACAGCGCCUGCAGAUUCCUCUCCUUUGAUCGCUUGCACUGUGGCCUCAGUUAGACCCGAAGCAAACAGAUGGAACGAAAUGUUUUGGGUCAGUCUUGCCAUGAGGGCCAAUUUGCAUGCAAAAGUUGGUCUAAAUCUCAUAACCCAUUUCCUGUUCGACUGCUAGAAAUCGUUAUCGUGGCCGCGUUGGUGACGCAGAGAAAGAUGAGAUGUUCCCGGAUUUAGAUGCCUCAACGAUUGAAAGCCACCGGAACUAAGAAUGCUGACGAACUUUACGCUGCCAAUUUCUUCCCACGUAAAAUAUAUACCUAUGUAUAAGAACAAUAGAACGAUGAGGCGUCAACAUGGCCUUUUACUUUUUGUGCUUCGUUGAAUAUAUACUACUAGUCGUCCGAAAAAUUUGGAGCCGACUUGAACUGUUCUAUCACUCUGACAUGUACGGAAAAUGUCAGUGUUCUUCAAAAUUACAUAGUUUUCUUUUGUUUUUGAAAUAGUGACUGAUUUCGAUUGCUCGAAAUUUCCACUGCGUUUGGCCUAAGCUGAUUGAAUCUUUGGUAAUAUGACCAAGAAAGAAAUUAUUUAUCGUCCUCCGGCGAAGAAAAUAAUUACAACUGUUUGUGGGAGCCACGCUGCCGUCGUGGGUGGAAAUGUGGUCCACUGUUGGAAACGUGGGGUCCGUAGGACGCGGAUCGGCCUGCGAAAGGGCAGGAACGGAUGGGGCCCUCAUCGGCCCGCCUCUCCUGUAGCUUUCCGAGGCCGGGCCCGCAGUGACCCCCACACGGUGCCCUUAGGUCGCCGUCAUGUCCCCGUCGGCAGAUAAAUAAAAUGAAUUAUUGUUAAUAGGACUUUUGGGUUGGCAGUUGGUCGCCAUCCGAGGACUCGUGUCACGGCCACAGCCACGCGAACCGGGAGAAGAGAGGAGGGAGGGGGGUUGGGGUUUCCCCGUUCAACGAGCAAACCGCCUGCCCGACACGUGCCAGCCCACCUUUGCGUCUUAAGCUAAUCAUAAUUGAGCCUUCGCGUGAAGAGUUGGGUUGGGUUUAAUAAUCAUCCGAAUUAGCCUAUCGUAUUUGAUGCAAAAUACCGUCUCUACCAACUCCAUGAGGGUGGCAUCGACAUGGAUGACCGGAAUGAGGUGACGAAGGUCUGAGGUGAUCACAGGAGUCGCUGUCGAGUCGGCAUCAGCACAGGCAAAUAAUGGAUGAAUGAGCCAAUGGAACGUCACCCGGUAGGCAUAACCGACAAAGUACACGUCUGCCUCGAUCGGCCGCUGGAUCAAGAUCCAACGGAGACCACUUGUGAUCUCUGUGGAAUCUUCUUCAGGCUCAACUUGGAGGUCCUUUAAUGGCGGUGGUUUGAGCCUCACAACCUUAUCAUCAGCUUUAAGCUGGGCCUCCAAUGCAGGCGGGUAGGGCAAUGACAUGAAUGCCCUGCCUGCAUUUCCUUGGCCUCGCCGGCCACUGAUGGCCACGUUUACCUAAAGCAGGACUAGGCCUGUAUUAAAACUGGUGCAGAUUUCAUUGUGAUUGUAAUGGAGAGGGAGGGUGUCAUUUGUCCUUAAGAGUAUGAACAGGAGGGGGCUCAAGUGGUCAUUUGUCACUUAGAGUGGUAGUCAAAUUGUAGAGAAAAGAAAUAUAGAAAUGUAAGCAGCUGUCAAAGGGGAGAAGAGGAGGAAUAGCGACCUGUUCUUUUUUGUCUUUCUACGAUCCGCCUCCGUCCCUUCUUUCUUCCCUUUGGUUUCGGAAGGCGAUUGUAGGAGGAGGAGAGUAGAGGAAGAAAAAGAACAAACAGAAGAAAAGAGGGAGACAGGGUAGACAGAGAUGGAGGAGCCCUGGAAGAGGUUUUCAAUUACGCAGCAAGACCAUGAUGUCUUCAUCGUCUAACGUUUUCCUAAAGAGCAAGGCGAUCCAAGGUAAGAACCUAUACAUCUCUGAGAAUCACCACCAUCACCGUGACACAAAGACACCACCAGCAAGAGAGAAAAGAAGAUAUUUAAGAGUUCUCGCGUUAUUUCUUAUGUUUGUUCAUGGUUUUCUUCUUGCUGGAUCUCUUGUUUUGAUCGCUUCAUGACUACCUGUGUGCAGCUGGCGUAACGUUAAUUGGACUGCCAUGAUGAUGAAGAAAGAGAGGGCAGCAUGGGAAUAGCGACACAACCGUCUCAGCUUCCCUUCUCCUACCUCAGCCCAACCAAGGUCCUUACGAGGCCGCAGCCCGGGCCUAAUUCGCCGACGACGUCUAUGUCCCAAGGCUUCCACCAAGGCAUCUUCAGCUUCUCCGAGGGCUUCGAUCGCUCUGCAAACCAGGAGCAGCAGCAUCACCACAUCGCGCAGCAAAGCAGGAGGGACAAGCUAAGGGUGCAAGGGUUCGAUGCCGCCGGACCCCCGCUAGUCCCGAUCGAGGAGCAAGGAGGGGAGCCAAGCAUCUACGAAUCCGCCGCUGUCGGUGCCGGCAACAUGUUGUCAGACAUGUUCAGUUUCCCGGCGCACGGACCAACGCCAAUCGACCUGCAUGCCAACCAGAUCUCGGGUAGUUAUCAUCUCCCGCCGAGGCAAACGGCCGUGACCGGCUUUUCCGGGGACUGGUACGGGCCGAACCGACAAGGGAACCAGCAGCAGCAUCAGGUGACGGGUUUGAACACCGAUCCAGCUGCUGCGAUGCAGCUAUUUCUCAUGAAUCCUCCACCGCAGCCGCCAUCACAGCAGCAGCAUCCAAGGUCUCCAUCUCCACCUCCACCAGUUGCUGCCCCAACUCUCCACCAGCAACACCAUCCUCAUCAAGCCUUUCAAUCCUUUGGCGAGACUCCCUUUGGUGGGAGACUGGUAGAAGGCCAAGGGCUGUCGUUAUCGCUCUCUUCAUCUCUGCAGCACUUGGAGAUGGCCAAAGCUGAUGAUCUAAGAGUUAGAGAAGGUGGGUUGUACUUCAGCAACCAGCAGCAGCACCCUACGUUACAUUUGCAAGGCCAUGUUCAUGGCCAUGGUCAGCAGUUCCACAUGGGCUAUACCGGCACGGGUAUGGUGAGUGUAUUGAGGAACUCCAAGUAUGCAAAGGCGGCGCAGGAGCUACUGGAGGAGUUCUGCAGCGUGAUGAGCGGGAAAUCGAAAGGGAGUAGGGUAGGGAGGCACCGCGUUGGGUCAUCCAACAUUAACCGUAACCCUAGUAGCGGCGGCGGCGGUGGAGGUGCGUCUAGUACGGCCGCUGCAUCUACCUCCUCUUCCAAGGAUGUCCCUCCCUUGUCUCCCGCUGACAGAUUUGAGCACCAGAGAAAGAAAACCAAGCUCAUCUCCAUGCUUGACGAGGCAUGUACUAAUCACUCCUUUCUGACCUGCUCUAUCUCUUGUGACUAUUAUUGUAGAUAGCUUCACGUAGACCUACCUCCUCCUCGCUCAAUUCACAUAGUGAGAAAUUUGCCUUCAGCGGCAAAUAUAUUACUUAUCAGUCAUUUGGUUGCCGAAGAAAGUGGUUGAGUUGAUUCUCAGGUCAUUUUUAACAAGAUUUUUUGAUAGUGGUCGUUGCGCUUUUCUUUAUCUAUUCCCAUAGGUCGAAUAGAUUACAACCAUAGAGGUAGCUUCCAUUAAGUAACCAUGGCUCUUGUUUGGUGAAACAAUGGCCUUCACGUCUCCAUUGCUCCACUCCUCUUCUUAAUUUCCUUCUGUAGGGAUGCAAACUCCCAAGAGAUCUCAUUGUCUCUUCAUGGAAACGCUGCUUAAGAAGACAUACAACACCAAGGAUAGAGAUGCGUGUACAUAUCUUCCUGCUGAGGCGGAGAAAGGGAUUUAGAUGAUCUCAGGAACCCCAGGCCGAAACACGCUAGUGUGACUGGCCCAGACCCUUGCUUUCCAUAAAGUAUUGCUCAUAGGCACAUUGUAAUAUUUGUCUUUCUUAUAUACUCUUCAAUCCGCAUCAUCGUAGCAGCAUGAUUCGAUAGGAGAAUUAAUCAUUGUACUUGGUUUGGAUUUCUACAGCUCAUUUAGCUUAACCUUUGGCAACUGUAAUUAUUUUUCUUGUCCUCUAUCGUUUCCCUAGUCCUUUUAUGUAAUAGUACAACAGUAACUACAAGGCAAUCAUGGCGCUCUCUAUCUUUGAUCUUCGCAGGUCGACAGAAGAUACAGCCACUACUGCGAUCAAAUGCAGAUGGUGGUGAAUUCCUUCGACUCGGUGAUGGGGUUUGGAGCUGCAACGCCCUACACAGCUCUAGCGCAGAAGGCUAUGUCGCGGCACUUCCGGUGCCUCAAGGACGCAAUCGUCGCACAACUGAAGCAGACAUGCGAACUCCUAGGCGACAGAGAAGGUGCGAGCAGCUCCGGGAUCACCAAGGGAGACACCCCCAGGCUCCGGCUGCUCGACCAGAGCUUGCGGCAGCAGCAGUCCUUCAGUCAGAUGGGAAUGAUGGAGCAGGAAGCCUGGAGGCCUCAGCGCGGAUUGCCGGAGCGCUCCGUCAGCAUCCUGAGGGGUUGGCUCUUCGAGCACUUCCUUCACCCGUAAGACCAUCUUCCCUUCCUACCAUCCUAUGCAUAGAUAGACUCUUCAUCUAUCCAUACAUCUUUUUUCUCCUCUUCCUCCGCCACCACCUGCAACAUGAAUAAGAGUUACUUGCCAAAAGCUUCGAAGAUGUUGUCCUUGCAAUUCGUGCAGCGGGUUUCUGCAUGCUUUCUGUGCACCCUAAAGUUGGCAUUCAGUUGCUCUGUGUGAGAGGAGCUGACAUCAUAGAGCAUUUUCUUCUUUUAUUUUUGUCUCUCCAUUUCCCUUAGUGUACCUUUAGUAUCAUCAAUUAUACCAAUCUAUCAACGAUUCAGCACUGCCAUGUCCUUAUGUGCAGUCCUCGCACCACAAAAGCUUCUCCAUUCAGCAUUCACUAAUUCAUUAUUUUAAGCAUCUGUAGCAAUAUUUAAUAUAUAUAUAUAUAGCUAGCUAGUUGGUGAUGGACUGUGGAUCUUUGAGACGUACUGAUGUCAUUUUCAACUCAGGUAUCCCAGUGAUGCAGAUAAGCAUUUGUUGGCGAGGCAGACAGGUUUAUCCAGAAAUCAGGUCUGUCCUUUCAUCCCUCAAUCAUACGAAACGCAUCGGGUUUUGGAAUCCAAAUAUUUCAACCAGGAAAAUGAUGACUUUACCAUGGAGAUCGAGCAGAAACAUUAAUACAACGAGAUACAUGGACUACUUGCAGUGUCACCUCCCCACUUUUAACGGGAUUAAAGCUGGAACGUUUGUUUGAACUUUGAUUCAGUCGACCAGGGUUCAUCUUCCUUAUGUUUUCUGGGGUUGCUGCAUCUUUGCACUUUCCUGGAAGACCAAUAUAGAUCUAUCUCAGCUGCUAACCAAAGAUGUAGGUAGACCUGAUGGUUUUACAUGUGUACCAGGUUUCCAACUGGUUCAUCAAUGCAAGGGUGAGGCUAUGGAAGCCAAUGGUGGAGGAGAUGUACCUGCAGGAGUCCAAGGAGGAGGAGGGAACAGAGAAAGAAGCAAACCAACAAAGAGCGCCAUCACCAAUGCAACAGCAGCAGCAAAGCCAGAGACUGGGAACCAAUGCGGCGUCCGAGAGUGACGCGUCUCCCAGCACAUCCUCCAUCAGCCACCGCAAUCAUCGGUUCGCCUCCUCCUCCGACAACCCACCGCCGGGUCUGGGUGCGGCCCACCAGCCAAGCAGCGGAGUCGAUGACGGUGUCCUUGUCGGUGUAGGACAAAUCGGCGACGUGUACCGCUACUACGGGGCUGCCGCCACCUCUGAACUGGGCCCGGCUGCGCGAAUGCGACUGGGGGCCGCCGGAGACGUGUCGCUCACGCUCGGGCUACGGCAUGCCGGCGGCGGUACGUCCGAGAAGAGCCGGUUCUCAGUUAGGGACUUGGGCGGCUGUUAACACGAUCCAAAGCAAGUAUAAGAUUAGAUAAGAAGAUCCUACCUAGUUUUCAGCUUCUUGGACUGGACAAUUAGUGCAACAAAUAUAUAGCAAGAACAUAGAAAUCUAUGGUAUAGAAUUGUAUUGCAGGUUUUCCUCUCUUCCUUUCUCUUUGUAUACCUAUGAACACAUAUCGGUGUUGGGGGAUGAUUACAGGAAUACUGAUUGGUGACACUAGUGUGUUUCUUUGGUGUUUUGUCCACGUUCUUUUCACUGCUUCAUCUCUACGGUCGACUCACCACCGAGGUCGUCGGAGAUAGCCGGCCAACGAUUAGAGGAACAGCAGCCAUGAAUGCUAGAAACAGUGGUUGAUUGAUAAGGGAAAUUAAAUGACACACCAGAUGAUGAUGGAGCUGCUUUUUCUCGUCAUCUCAGUGGGCCGUCCGUCCAUAGCUAAGCAAUUGGACAAAAGAAUUAAUGAAGGGUGACUCUACGUUUCACGUGAAAGAUAAAACGUGUAUGAUCUAUCUCUAUAGCACUUCCAUCACAUGUGUGCAACAGAUAAUUCCUUGCAAUCGAAUAAAAUAGUUCUGUAAAUCAGCAAAUUAUUGACCAAUCAUUUCGUGAUUAGUUAUGUUUGUAAUUAUUGCAGUAAUUACGACAGAAUUACAAAUUAUUGCAGUAAUUAUUCUCCCUUUUAUGUGCUAUUAAGAUGUUUUUCUCCUCCUCCAUGCUGUGUUUCUGCUACCUAAUCCAUGAGGAACAGAGCAUCGAGUGCUGUUGAAACUUUUGAGGCCCAGGGAGAGUUAUAUAUCUCUAACAAGGGAAAGGGAACAAAAAUAUAUCUCUAAAUAGAGUUGAAGUGCAUUUUGUGCAAAACAUUCUGAGUGGAAAAGGUAACGAUAUAUAAUUUAGUAUAUUUAUAUACAUUCUGAUCACGAGGAGCUCUUUACAGUCCUGCAGUCAAAACUUCAUGUGUUCUUGAACAGUGAGGAAGAAGUACACGGUGAGUCCAAUGCUCGCUGCCACAAGAAUCACCAUCCCUGCAAAGAAUCUCUGGUCGAAUUAAUUCUAGUUUUCUUGUUGCAAAUGAUGAGACUGAUCCUGAUUUGGCCGAAGCCAUCUAUAAGAAUUUGUUUUCACCUAAAAGAAAUCAUCAUGAGGAUUCACUAAAUUUCUGAAAACUUGAGCAUGCUCUUUGACUGUAAGUAGUCGAAAGUCAUAGCAGAUUCUUGACGAGGGAUGAAGAACAAGAAAGCGAGCUUACCGGAUUCAGCAGAUCUUGCUGCUAGUUCUCCUCUUCCUUUCUUGGCCUCCUUCGAAGCAUGAGAAGCUUUGAGAUGCAGAAACAUGGACAUCACCACCAACCCACUCCCAAGCUUCUCCCUCACAACCCUCUCACGCAUGUUCAAGGACCAAAGCCCAGCCACCCCUUCGACAUAGCCCUCCACUAUGACCUUCACGAGCAAGAGAAUCCCAGCACAGAGGAUCGACAUGGCCGAUCGACUCAGGGUGUUGGAGGUGAAGCCACAGUGGAGAAGAUUGAUGCCGAAGGCAAAGGCAUAGAGUGGGAACCAAAAGUACCAAUCUGGAAGAAAAAGAUCAUAAAAAUACUAGGAAAAAUAAAAGCUCAGGAAAGAUGGGGAAAUUUGCUUGCCUGGAUCAUCCAGCUGAACUGAUGCAGAGUAAGCAAACAGUAGGCUCAUCAACACAGAGCACGCGGAGAAAACGGGAGAAUGAACGUUAAGCAUCGCCAUGUUCUUCAGUUCCUUUGCCUUCUUGCCCUGCACACCUCUCUCGAGCUCAACGACGUGAUGAACAUGGCAGACGAAUAAAGUCAACGUUGUUAUUUACUUGGCUGCACAGCUAAUGUAGCGUUUGAUGUGGACUGGCACAUCGUUUCUCUCACCCAGCUGUUGACUUUCUAGGCUGUGAGAUCGAAUGACUCAUGACUUGGUAGUGUUUGUCGAAAUGUCGAUGACCUCGCAGUGAUUAUACAUGAAAAAUAUAACCUUAAUUUGAUUCCCUUGCAUUGAUUUCACAGCUUAAAGGGUAAAAGUUGACAUGGGAAAAUUUAUUUAGCAACAGCCUCAGUUUGCUUGGAAGAGAGGCCCAAAUGAGGCCAUCGAGAAACCAGAAACAGAAUCCAGGUUCGGCCCAAAGCCGCUCACCAAGGGAUUUGAGCUGAGCUAUCGUCUUCUCCGAGUCACUCACCGCAAAGCAGAUCAUUCACGUUGCUCUGACAACAAAUUGAAAGAAGCAGAAAUAAUAAUUCAAAGUACAACAGAAAUUGCAUGCAAUCCAUUUUUUAGGUCCCGAUCAGCCAUGGAUUCCCAAUCUUACCCUCGAAAUGUUUACAAAUCAUCUAUCUCACCAAAUCUUAGCAUAGCCAUCAGCUACAUGUGCACCAACACCCGUUAUCUUCCUCCUCAACUCACAAGUCGAUCGACACGCACGCUUCAUUCAGCCCCGAUUCGACGGCAGAACUAACGAAUAGCGUCUGCUUUGCGGCAGACCUCGCUGGUGGUGUUCGUAAGCGCCGCCGCACCAAGGAUCUCAAGCGGCAACAUGUACUCGCGGCAUGGGCCCCUCGUUGUCUUGGCCCACCACGCUUCUAUAAGCUUACUCCGCCCUGCCGCCGUACGCCCCCGUCUGCGGCGCCCUCAGCAACGCCUCCGGUGACUGCUCCGACACCCGCCACACCUUCACCGAUUUGUCUAGGCUGCCGCUGUACACGAUCCAACUCGCGGCGGCGCCGCCGCGGCCCCCCUCCUCGCCGCCGGUGUCCGUGACUAUCGCGAGGCACUUGACUGGUCCCGAGUGGCCGCUGAGCACCGAGAGGCAGUUGUGCACCGUGCCCUCGCGCCGCCACACGCAGAUAUUCUUGUCAGCGGAGCCGCUCAGCAGGAGGCUUCCGGCCGCGGCGAGGCAGAGCACUGCCAUUUUGUGGCCUCGGAGCACUCCGCCGUGGGAGAGUUGCCCUUCUCCCUCCCAGAAAUUGAUGAUCCCGUCGGAGGAGCCGCAGUAGAGGAUAGGCGCUGUCGGGCUGACCGCGAGCGAGGUCACAGCGGACUCCUGCUUGAGCAGCGUCUGCACCGGCGAGUGCUUGGUGCUCUUCACCUGCAGCUCCCGUCGCCACACCUUGACGGUGCCGUCGGCGGAGCCGGUAAAGACGAGCCCGCCGAAGGCGGUCACAACCGAGUUGACAGCGUCGUCAUGGGCGAUGACAGACUCCAGGCACCUCGAGUCAGAUAUUCGCCACACCUUAAAGGUCUUGUCCCAGGAGCUCGAGUAGAGGAGCCCCUGGUCCUCGUCGAGGCAAAGGCACGAUAUGGCGUCGGAGUGGCGAAUCCAGAGGGCGCUGCGAUGGCGACGGACCUCGACGUAGUUGGACGGCUUCAGCGAGCUCCGGAUGACGUCCUUGAGCCUGGGGAGGCUCCCAAUACGCUUGUGUACGGCGGCGCUCUUGGGGGACACCCUCCAUACCCGGAUCUUGCCGUCCUGGUGGCCGGUGAAGAUGCGAUCCGCCGCGAUGACGAUGGCCUUGACGAGCCCGCUGCUGGACUUGAACCCGGCGAAGUCCUUCUGGUUCUUCCACACCCGGAUAUUCUUGCUGUCAGAUCCGGUGUACAGGAGGUCGCCAAUGGCAGCGAGCGAGUAGAUGUGACCCUCCUCGCGCACCAGGGAGCUGAUGAGGCCAGUGAAGGGGAGCCCAGCGGCGGCAUCCGCGAAGGCGGGGUCGUUGGCCGGGUGGGGGGAGGACUGGUGCCAAGGGGACAUGAUGAAAGGGGAGCUCUCGCCGCUCAUGGCCAUGGGGUAGUCGGAGUAGAACCCAGAGCUGGCCGUGGUGGAGGAGCUGCUGUGUCGCAUGAAGGAGUCCUCAUCCGCGGAGGACUGGUGCAUGAGCUGGUCAGAGUGCGGCAUGGGCCUGUCGGCGUACAUGGCGGCGCUGUGCCCACUCCCACCGCUGCUGCCGCCUCCCUCCCUCAUCGACCCCUUUCUGAUAUAUAUGCUCUUCGAUAUAGAACGCGGAAGGAAAGACAACGACGACCAACAAAAGGAAAAGAUAUGACAGGAAGAGGAGAUGGGGCAAGCGGGGUUUGAAAGGAGUAAAGGUUGGCGAACGAGGGGACGUGAUGUAUAUAUAAAUAGGAGAUGCGGGGAUGGAGACGAGCGAAGAAGGGCCGAGACGACUGCGGUAGUAUAGAUUGACACGUGUGGGGACGAGAGAACGUCCCGGAGGUGGAUUGCGCACGGCCGCAGACAACCUCUUCCUUAUUCCCGUCCGUCCGUUUCGUGAAUGCCAACUUGGUCAACUCCAUUUUGUUAAUACUUGGUAUUUUAAUUUGAGACGAACAGAUGGCUGAGAUUAAUAAUUAUGAUGGGAUGGACGGCUUCGAUGGACCCUUCUUUCCUAUCAGCCGUCUACCCAGCUAAGAAUACGAUACAUAUCAUAAUAGUCAAUUAUUUGAUUUUUUAAACUUAAAUUUAUAGGAUAACCGCAAAACAAAACAAAAAAAAAUACUAAUUUAAGAUGGAUAUAUGCGUAAUAAUUUUAUGUCAUGUGAAACAUCGGUUGCAAUAUAUUGAUCUUACUCGAACAUUUUCUAUAUCUGUAUUGUUCCGUAGACUAAUCAUCUUCGUUCGUUUCGUGAAUCAAAAACAAUAUAGAUGUAAUCGAUUCAAAGACAAAGCGUUGUUCUUGACCUCCCAAAAAAGAAAGAAACAAAGAAGAAGGCAAUCGUUUCAUGACCUUCGGUGUACUCGAUGGGUCACGAAGUCCAGCUUCUUCUUCAUUUUGUUAGAUACCACCAUUGAACGGGUAAGCAUUUAUUUCGAUUCUUUAAUCAAAAAUAAUUUUUUUGAAUAACAAAAUUUUAAAAGUAAUCAAAAUUCAGUGAUAUUAUAUAAACUUAGAAUAAUUUUUUCAAUCUUUUUUAAAUUAAAAAAAACCUUAGGUCUUUCUCUAUAACUCUCCCUUGAUGAUAUGUUUAUGCAAUAAAUUUUAAUUAAAUAAAGACUCUAUCAACCUACUUAAUAUUAAUUUUAAUUAAUCAAUGAGUUAGAAUUUAAUUAAAAUUCUAUCAAGUAAUUUCAAUUUACUUAGGACUCCUAAAUACUUGGAAGUGAGUCUCAAGAUUAAUUGCCCAUUAGAUUUACGAAAUAAUCCAUUAUGAUAUCGAUUAUAGAUCGAUCUUGGCGGAGUAUCUGACGAUAGAAUCCCUAUGACAAAGGAUAAAAGAGUAUCGAGAAAUGAAACCGAGUCGGAUGUGAUGAUCUUUAAAAUCAAUAAAUUUCACGAUAUGAAAUAUAGAGAGAAGACGGAUCUCUAAUUACAAGCAAUCGAGGAGCCUUGUAAAUCGUAACUAUAACUCGGGAUCCCUAAAUCGAUCUUAAUACGAAAAGUUUCCAUCGACAUCAGGUCUCGAUGGGUAGCAAAUAUUAACCCUAACAAACAAUUGUGUAAAGAAAUUGUUUUUCACGGAUAUAAUCAAAGUGUUUUUCUUUUAAUUAUAUUAUCUUAUAAGCAUAUAGAGAAGCAGAUUUAUUAUACAUAGUGCAGGAGGUGGAUCCAUAGCUGUACACACACACACACACACAAAAGAACUUAGAAGACUCCUUAGAACAACAAGCAGUUCGCUGGGGGGGAUCUGAACCUAAGGGCUGACACAAUCCACAAGCAUGGACAAAGCUACUUCGGUGCAAGGCAGACGUACAGACCGAGGCUUGGCCCGUAUUGCCUGGCUCAGAGGACGGCCAUCGGGUUCGCUGGCUCGCUCCGCCUCCGCCCUCGGGGUCGAACUCCCGGAGAGAGCAGCACGACCCUUGUCCCGCAGCUUCGCGAGCUCGGCCGUCCACGUAUCCACUAGGUUGGACAUCGUAGCAGAGACGAAAGCAAGAACAAUGGCAAGCAACAGCUCUAGAAGACACUGCAAAGCGUACCAGCUACGAUUAGGAUGGUGAGGCCCGGCGAAGGCUUAAAAAGAGGGGCAGCCGAGCUUAUCCACUCUGAAACCAGUGAGCCUAUAAGAGUGGUUUUUGUGGGUGUCGGCAGGUUCUUAGGUGCCGGAGAUAUUUUGCAUCACGUUCAUCCUAGAUAAGUCUCUUCAUUAAAAUAAGGCAAAUUUCAUAUACAAAUAUAGAUAUUUAGCUUACAGACCCUUUAAUAAGACAAACAACUGAGUUCUUAUCCAAACACUAAUAGAGAAUAAUUAAUACACAUGACGAGGCAUGCCCACAUGUCGAAUUCUAACAGCACAAAUGAUAUUUUCAUUAUCAAAAGCAAUCGACUACCCGACACGUGGAGCCCUAAAUAUCCACGUGGCUA